rnacentral:rRNA from 1 species
CGCGGCCUAUCAGCUUGUUGGUGAGGUAAAGGCUCACCAAGGCAAUUACGGGUAGCUGGUCUGAGAGGACGAUCAGCCACACUGGAACUGAGAUACGGUCCAGACUCCUACGGGAGGCAGCAGGAGGGAAUAUUGCGCAAUGGGCGAAAGCCUGACGCAGCGACGCCGCGUGGGGGAUGAAGGCCUUAGGGUUGUAAACCCCUUUCACGAGGGAAGAAAAUGACGGUACCUCGAGAAGAAGCCCCGGCCAACUACGUGCCAGCAGCCGCGGUAAUACGUAGGGGGCGAGCGUUGUCCGGAUUUAUUGGGCGUAAAGGGCUCGUAGGCGGCUUGGCAAGUCGGCCGUGAAAACCCAGGGCUCAACUCUGGGACGCCGGUCGAUACUGCCAUGGCUAGGGUCCGGUAGAGGGGAAUGGAAUUCCCGGUGUAGCGGUGAAAUGCGCAGAUAUCGGGAGGAACACCAGUAGCGAAGGCGGUUCCCUGGGCCGGCACCGACGCUGAGGAGCGAAAGCGUGGGGAGCAAACAGGAUUAGAUACCCUGGUAGUCCACGCCGUAAACGUUGGGUACUAGGCGUGGCGUCUUAUCAACGGAUGCUGUGCUCGAAGCUAACGCGUUAAGUACCCCGCCUGGGGAGUACGG